rnacentral:rRNA from 1 species
UACGGGGGAGCAAGCGUUGUUCGGAUUUACUGGGCGUAAAGGGCGCGUAGGCGGCCUUCUAAGUCGAACGUGAAAUCCCCGGGCUCAACCCGGGAACUGCGUCCGAUACUGGAAGGCUUGAACCCGGGAGAGGUGAGUGGAACUGCGAGUGGUAGAGGUGAAAUUCGUAGAUAUUCGCAAAGAACACCAGUGGCGAAGGCGGCUCACUGGCCCGAUACUGACGCUGACGGCACGAAAG